rnacentral:lncRNA from 1 species
UCCAUGCCUAAGACCAUCCUCAAUUUCAACAGAAUUCAAUGUCCAAUCAUCUACUGUCACGUUCAUGUCGGUAAGACUUUUGUUAAGAAUUCCCCGUACUCAUGGCUUUUUCCUAAAUUUAAUAGCACAGUGCCUUAAAAAGGAUAUACACAAUCCAAAUAAAUCAGGCUAAAAAACAUUUUACGAUCACUAUAGACCAUCAAAAAGAGUUGCAAGUCGGGAUUGCUUUCUCAUAGAAAAGAACCCAAAUAAUAUAGACAUAAAACAUUGAAUCCCCAAUUUACUAAGCAACACCUGGUGCACUCUCAGACUUCGCUUUCCAUGGGCUCUGUUGUAGUUGAUGGUACUUCAUUUCCGGAUCUAGUAGUCUCAAUUGCACCAGUUUCGGUUGGGACUUGAAUUCGGGUUCUCUGCACCUUGAGAUUGUGACCUCCUCGAGAGGGAGUUGGCGAGGGUGUUUUUGGAGUAGUAGGCUUUACUGGCAUCGAUUUUGUCAUUAUCGGCCUACAAGACCUGUGAAAGCAAAUAAAGUUCAAGUGGCGAGGACAAUAUUUAUACUUGAAAAGAAACUGAAAUCAUCAAUACAGCUCCACUUAGAGGGAAAACUUCCUUACUAGGGCUCCAAUCUUUUGCCUGACUAGCAUGUCGGUUCGCUACAUUUCAUUAUAGUUGCACAAUUAGUUCUUAUUGAACUUCUAAACCUCCGCUAAAUCAUUACUACUGCCUGACUAGCAUGUGAUGAUUUAACAGAGAUGUAGACUUUUUU